rnacentral:tRNA from 1 species
AAGGGUAUAGCUCAGUGGUGGAGCACAUGCUUAGCAUGUGCAAAGGUCCUGGGUUCAGUUCUCAGUACUUUCA